rnacentral:rRNA from 1 species
GAUGAACGCUGGCGGCGUGCCUAAUACAUGCAAGUCGAGCGAACAGACGAGGAGCUUGCUCCUCUGACGUUAGCGGCGGACGGGUGAGUAACACGUGGAUAACCUACCUAUAAGCCUGGGAUAACUUCGGGAAACCGGCGCUAAUACCGGAUAAUAUAUUGAACCGCAUGGUUCAAUAGUGAAAGACGGUUUUGCUGUCACUUAUCGAUGGAUCCGCGCCGCAUUAGCUAGUUGGUAAGGUAAUGGCUUACCAAGGCAACGAUGCGUAGCCGACCUGAGAGGGUGAUCGGCCACACUGGAACUGAGACACGGUCCAGACUCCUACGGGAGGCAGCAGUAGGGAAUCUUCCGCAAUGGGCGAAAGCCUGACGGAGCAACGCCGCGUGAGUGAUGAAGGUCUUCGGAUCGUAAAACUCUGUUAUUAGGGAAGAACAAAUGUGUAAGUAACUAUGCACGUCUUGACGGUACCUAAUCAGAAAGCCACGGCUAACUACGUG